AACGCGAAGAACCUUACCUACCCUUGACAUCCAGAGAAUCCUGCAGAGAUGCGGGAGUGCCGAAAGGAAUUCUGAGACAGGUGCUGCAUGGCUGUCGUCAGCUCGUGUUGUGAGAUGUUGGGUUAAGUCCCGUAACGAGCGCAACCCUUAUCCUUAGUUGCCAACAUGUAAUGGUGGGGACUCUAAGGAGACUGCCGGUGAUGAACCGGAGGAAGGCGGGGACGACGUCAAGUCAUCAUGGCCUUUAUGGGUAGGGCUACACACGUGCUACAAUGGACGGUACAGAGGGCAGCAAGCGUGCGAACGCAAGCCAAUCCCUAAAAGCCGUUCGUAGUCCGGAUCGGAGUCUGCAACUCGACUCCGUGAAGUCGGAAUCGCUAGUAAUCGCGAAUCAGAAUGUCGCGGUGAAUACGUUCCCGGGCCUUGUACACACCGAGACGUA
rnacentral:rRNA from 1 species